GCAAGUCGAGGGGUAACAGGGAAGCUUGCUUUCGCUGACGACCGGCGCACGGGUGCGUAACGCGUAUGCACCCUACCUCAUACUGGAGGAUAGCCCUUGGACACGAGGAUUAUACUCCAUGGUAUCAUGAAUUCGCAUGUUUUUAUGAUUAAAGUUUUUCGGUAUAAGAUGGGCAUGCGUCCCAUUAGCUAGUUGGUGAGGUAACGGCUCACCAAGGCGACGAUGGGUAGGGGGCCUGAGAGGGUGGUC
rnacentral:rRNA from 1 species